GACGAACGCUGGCGGCGUGCUUAACACAUGCAAGUCGAACGGAAAGGCCCCUUUGGGGGUACUCGAGUGGCGAACGGGUGAGUAACACGUGAGUAACCUGCCCUUGACUUCGGGAUAACUUCAGGAAACUGGGGCUAAUACCGGAUAGGAAUCCUUGCUGCAUGGUGGGGGUUGGAAAGCUUCGGCGGUUUUGGAUGGACUCGCGGCUUAUCAGCUUGUUGGUGGGGUAGUGGCUUACCAAGGCUUUGACGGGUAGCCGGCCUGAGAGGGCGACCGGCCACAUUGGGACUGAGAUACGGCCCAGACUCCUACGGGAGGCAGCAGUGGGGAAUAUUGCACAAUGGGCGGAAGCCUGAUGCAGCAACGCCGCGUGCGGGAUGACGGCCUUCGGGUUGUAAACCGCUUUCAGUAGGGGCGAAGCUUGUGGUGACGGUACCUGCAGAAGAAGCACCGGCUAACUACGUG
rnacentral:rRNA from 1 species